CGAUCACGGGGGUGAGGACGAGGUGGAACCUGGCGCCGUGCAUGUGACCGACCGUUUCACGCACGUUCCCUCGCUCUGCCUCGAGUGCGAGCUGAGCUUCCCGCAUCUGGAUGAAGGUGACGCACAGAAGGCCGAGGUGGUUGAAUACCUCUCCAGAAUGCUGUGUGGACAAACUGUGCGCAUGACACUGAAGGUGCCCUGCAGUGAAGCGUCACUGCCCCUCCAAGUGGAUGUCUACACAGAGCAACAGGGCUCCCUGGAGGCUCUUUUGGCGUUGGCUGAGCCUCUCGAUGGGGAACAGUGCAGCCCACAGGGGCAGGAGCCCACAGAAGGCGAGAGUAAGC